AUGGUCCAUGAAUGUAUUCGAGGUCCUAUCAUAGACGCAUAAGUGUCUGACCUAUACAGGUAUCUAUCGAGAUUGAUCUGAUUAGGAGGACUCGAUCUCACCGAGGUGCUAGCUCUCUUGCAGAGAUCACUCUCUGGAUUAUCAAGUUGGUUUGAUUUUUUAAUUCUCUUCUCAAGAGAGUCAAAUAGAUCUGUAGGAGGAUGAUAAAAUUAGAUCACAUCUGAUUUUUUUUUUCACUUUUCUCUUCUCAAGAAAAAAUCAAAAAUCUAUUAAAAAAGAUAAGAGAUCUAAUCUCUUUCUUCUUCCAUCUUGUCAAAU
rnacentral:lncRNA from 1 species